UACGGAGGAUGCGAGCGUUAUCCGGAUUUAUUGGGUUUAAAGGGUGCGUAGGCGGGAUGCCAAGUCAGCGGUAAAAAUGCGGUGCUCAACGCCGUCGAGCCGUUGAAACUGGCGUUCUUGUGUGGGCGAGAAGUAUGCGGAAUGCGUGGUGUAGCGGUGAAAUGCAUAGAUAUCACGCAGAACUCCGAUUGCGAAGGCGGCAUACCGGCGCCCUACUGACGCUGAGGCACGAAAGCGUGGGUAUCGAACAGG
rnacentral:rRNA from 1 species